CUUUCCACUGGGUUACAGUUACAUGUGAUUUGUUAAAAUGUUUAUUUUUUUAUCUAACAACUAAUAAAUGUAUUUGCUUAAAGAAAGGAAAGUAAAUUUCACUUGAAAUUCAGUCUAAUGCCUGCCUCUCUUGACUGCAGGCUGCCUAACAAUGCCAGUUGUUUAGACUGAGCAUCACAGGAUGCUGUAGAGAAAAAGAGGUCAAUGUCAGAAUCAGGUCACCAAGCUUCCUGGGCUGUGCUGCAGAGAUCUCAAGCCUAGCCUUGGGAGCAGGCCGCUGGUAACAACACAGCUUCUCAGAGGUCAAAACCGGCCACUCCAGCAGAAGUUCCUGAGGACAAACCCUCAAGAUCCCAGAGAGCUGGUAUUGCCUUCCUGAGCAGCCAGGGCAGGCAAGUGAGCAGAGCAGGCCUUUUAAAUCUGGUAUAAAGCUGAGCAGCCAUCUCCAAAAGAAAUAUCAAAGACAGUUCUAUAAAGCACUUCACAGCAGAAGAAACUUAUCCUAUCAAACAGGAAGUUAUUGUAUAAACUUCAGGAUCCACGGAAAACCCCAGUGGGAAGUACCUGGCCUAUUGGGGAAGAGAAUAUUCUUUCCUCUGUCUGCACAUUUGAAUUUCAGUAAUACUAUGAUAGAUACCUAAGUUAACAGGGGCAAAUGAAACAAACAACUAAAUCUGAAGCCUCCUGGAAGGGAACAAAACCAGCAUGAAGAGUCCCUGGAGAUCAGACUGCUUUUUAUUCCUGGACACUGUGAUCUGACAUAAAAAAGGAAGAAAAUAUAUGUAGCCAUGGCUAUUUGGUUCAUAUCUGAUUUGUAUGUAUUUUUCCUCAGCUAAUAUGUUUUUAUCAGCUGUUGAGUCAACAACAAGGCAAAAGCUGCCCUGCUGUUUGCUCAGAAACCAUAAUAGGAAAACUGUUUUCUCAGAAGUUUCAGUCAUCUUUUUAAUGAUGAAAAUAAAGUAGCUGGUACUUCCUUUUCUCUUACCUUUAAUAAUGUGGAUGAACCAAAAUACCUUCUAAAUUCCAAAUCUGUUUCUAUUUGCAGGAAACAAAAUGUACAUUUUUUCCUAGACUAUAUUUUUCUGGGAGUAGGAUAUAUUUGUUUAUACAUCCAUAUGCAUACAUAUAUACAUACUGUACAUGCACACGAAUAUACAUAAAUACACAUAUGUAUGUAUAAUAUCAGUCUUGCAAACACUAAUGGAGCCGAUGCAAAAUAAAUGUUGUUGGGCUGGGGAUUUAGCUCAAUGGUUCCGUCGCCUGCCUCACAAGCUCAAAGUCCCGAGUUCAAUCUCCGGUACCAAAAAAAAUAUGUUUUUUACUCUUACACCCAUUACUCUAAGGAUAGAUAUCUGUUGGGAAUGUUGAGGAAGGGGUCCGUACUCAAUGAAAGCCUAUACUAGGAUUACAUUUUCUCAGGCAUAUGUUAAGAUUGUGUGUAAAGCCUGCAGAAGUAAUUUAUUUCUAGAAAUCAAGUAUUGAAGUCAGUGAAUAAUUAACUAAAAACCAAAGGUUCCAGGUUAACCUUAUGAUGUGACCUCUACUCAUUUGAAUUUUAGCACCUUCCCUAUGUGGAGUGAACAAGGUGGAGUCACAUUGUAAGAAAUAGCGUGGCCACACACAGCACUAGGAAGUGCGACCUGUGAUCUUGUGACAGCAAAGAGGCUGAAAAUUUUUGAUCUUUAAGGCUCUUAAGAUUUUACAAUUCUGUCAGAUAAAAUUAAAAAAUCUUAUGAAUGGUAUGAAUAAAUAGCCAUUGGACUGUUUGGUGCCAAAUUUAUAUUUCUUAUCUUGAACACGUGGUUUGGAGGCAUAAAUAGCCCCAUUUAGCUGUUGACCAGUAUGAAACAAAUAGUUGAUUGGCUUUCUCCAUUUUCCCAUAAAAUCAGAGUUCAGACAACAGAUGGGUUUUUACUAAUGUAGUCUUCAAUUAGUUUUGAACUUGUGGGAUGUUACACUGCCACCCUGUGGGCAUGAGUUUCCAGCUUUUAGCAAGAUCUUUUAAUGUGUAACUAGUUCUCCCCCUAAGAAUAUACCAGGCAUUAUCUAUUAUACCUUUUAGUCCUUAUUUACACUUUCAGUUUCUCACACUGGAGAAACUCUUCGGUAUUCACCCAUGUGUGUCCUAUUUAUUUCAUUUAAGAGUAUUGCCUCAAUGUGCAUCCAUUUAGCAAUAAAUGUCUCUAAUUUCUUGUUUUUUAUGGCUGAGUAGUAC
ensembl:lncRNA